rnacentral:rRNA from 1 species
GACGAACGCUGGCGGCGUGCUUAACACAUGCAAGUCGAACGGUGAAGCUCAGCUUGCGUUGGGUGGAUGAGUGGCACACGGGUGAGUAACCCGGGAGUAACCUGCGUCGUUGUUUAGGAUGACGGGCGGAGACGGGUGCUAAUACAGGAGAUUUGAUGGUCUUCGCAUGGGGGCUGGGGGAAAGGGUCUAUCUGGUGAGGGAUGGGCGCGCGGCCUAUCUGCUUGUUGGUGGGGUGAUGGCGUACCAAGGCUUUGACGGGUAGCCGGCCUGAGAGGGUGACCGGUCACAUUGGGACUGAGAUACGGCCCAGACUCCUACGGGGGGCAGCAGUGGGGAAUAUUGCACAAUGGGCGAAAGCCUGAUGCAGCGACGCCGCGUGAGGGAUGGAGGCCGUCGGGUUGUGAACCUCUUUCGCUCAUGGUCAAGCCGCAACAAUGGUUGUGGUGAGGGUAGUGGGUAAAGAAGCGCCGGCUAACUACGUG